UGUAAGCCAUGGUGAAGGUGCAGACUGAGACCUGCAGAAUGGUGUGAGCCCGCUUAAGGGUCUGUUAAAGGGGUGGAGAGGAAGGAGGAGCCUGGCCAGACAGGAAGGAUUUCACAAUGGGGCUUUGAGCAUCCCCAGGAUGACUUAGCAAAAACAGUCACCCACCUGUAAGUGCUGUUUCAACAAGGAGGUUGCUCCUCCUAUUUACAGACUCUGAACAAAGCCACCUACCUGCCCCACCCUGCUGGCAACCUGGGAAGGGCCAAUUUGAUAUCUAUGUGCAAACAUGAAUAAUUCACUACUUGCAGGAAACUAGAGCCCCAAAGGUCAAAUGGGGAGGAAAAAAGGGAGGGAGGGAUGCAGGAUUGACUCCGACCUGCCCCAGCAAGUUGUUCUCACUUGGCACAGACGUUUAUUGUCUGCGGAGGGCCAGGCUCUGAACUGUGCCACUGAGAGGUCAGGGUCUGCCUAGAUCUGAAAGAUGAGGAAGAGAAUUGGGAUACAUGUUCCCUCAACUCAGACUACAACUGAAACCUAUAUAUUACCGUGCAUGUGUUUUUCUUUGGCUGUUGCCUUCCACGGGCACAAAAUCAAAGGGACCCUUAGGAGGACAGUGUGAUUUUCUAGAAAUAAUGGCUUUCAGUGGCUCAGCUUGCACCAGGCAGAAGAGAUGAAGUUUGUCUUGGAAAGUCUUUCAGGUCAUGCGGCUGACAUCAGUCAUGGUCGGGGUAAUGGGGAGGAGUCGCAGAGCAGGUACAUGUCCAUUGGGAACUGUCUUCGAGAACAAAUAAGCAAGGCUUGGGAGCAGCUGGUAUUGAGAAUCUGAUUUGCUGAGAAGAUGGAGGAACUAGUCACCAGGGAGUGUCCAGCUUUUCUGGCUUUUGUGGCCUGUUCCAUAGGUCUUUAGAGCCCAUGGGAACCUGUGUCUCUACUGGCUGCUCCCUAAAAACAAGCCUCCAUUACUUGAGUGGGAAUGGAAUCUUUGGCCAUUAAAGGAGGCAGGAAAUGCAGAGUGAAGUGUGUCUCUCCCCGCCCCCUCCCCCCCCCCCCCCCCCCCAGCCCCGAGACUGGGUAGAGUUCCUAGAAACAGCCCAAUAAAUGUUCCUACCAGGCCACGGAGUCAGAAGAACUUGGCCUUGACAGUGGGCUGAACUUCAACAUGAACUUGCCAGGCUUAUCUGCAUGCCUGGAGCUUUCCCAGUAUUCUCUAGGCAUCUGGACAUCUCUUAUUGGCUGCCCCUCUGGUCCUCUGUCCAGGAAGACCAUGGAAGUUCCUGAGCUGAGUGGGGGCUCCCUCUUCCUUAGGGACACGCCAUCCCUUUUCUCCAAGUACAAUUUAGGACCCUUUGUCAUGCAGGCUCUCACCUUUCAUGAUUGAAUAAAACUGAUGAGACUCUCCUAAAAUACUUUGUUUCCAACUUUACCUCAAACUGGCUUGAGUUGGAGGUAAACUCAAGAAGCUUAUUACUUUGGACAUGCACUAACAAGUGUGUGAUUCCCAUGGCUUUCCGCAGUAGUUGUUCUGGAAACUGCACUGGCUUAGAAGGCAAAAAGUCCAGGUAGGUGAUGGUUCUCAACUCUGGCUACAGAUGAGAAUUGCUUAUCAGGAUUUUUCUACAUAGAGAUACCAACGCUUUUCCCUCCAGAGAUUUCAAUUCUGAUGUUUCUAGCCAUGACUCUGCCACUGUUAGAUGAGGCCCUUAGGCACCUGUUGCCUUAUCUGCUGAAUUUAGAUAAUCACUCUCCUGAUCUCCCACAGAUAUGAUUGUUAGGAUGGAAGAGAUCAAGUAUUGCAAGUUUUCUAUAACUAUGAAGUGCAGGUGAAGAUCUUAAGCUACCACCAGCCUGCCUUUUUUGACUCCUUCUUCAUUGUAUCCUGACUCCCAUUUUCUAUCUCUUCCAUCAAUUGUGUGCCCCAAAGUAUAGUAUUUGGCACCCCCAGGUCCCCAAGAUCACAGUCUGCCUUGCUUCCUUGGAGUAUCCAAUCACAGGACCAGGACAAACUUCUGAAAGAUUACUUAAUCCCUCCUCAUGCCUUCAGGAAGACUUGUUCCUGUCCAUCCCAGACAGAGGAGAACGUUCUUGGCUUUAAAGACUCCUUCAGACAUAGAUAUUCAGCAUCCUGCCAGUGACUCAAUCUUAUUUCUGCACUGUAGGCCCACUAGAGAGCAUCGGGGGUAUGGCUGGGCUCCCCUGCAGGUGGCAUCAGGAAAGGUACAAUAAGGAAGAUGACGGUCUGCUGCUUCCAUUGUCAUUCUACUACUGUUGCUUUAUAGGGUUCUGGAGCCUCUUUUACUGGCACUGCCUCUCCCUCUCCCCCUUAUCUGACAGGGUCAAGUGAAAACUACCCCCCGGGGACUCAUACAGGCAGCCAUACCUCUGGUUU